rnacentral:lncRNA from 1 species
GAUAAUAUAAAUUUUUGCCUUACUGUAAUUGGAUUAUUUUGAUUUUUUAAAAAUUAUCUUUGAGAACUAUAGGUCUACCAAUAUCAUAAAAACUAGUCAAUAAAUACUUUAAAAACAAUUCAACACACGUACUGAAAGUUGCUGGUAUACAGUGGUGAGCAAAUAAUAGCAGACCUUCAGGAGCUUAUAUUCCAAGGACAGGGAUGGACAUUGAUAGGAGAAUCACACAAACAAAAUGCAAAGUCACAUCAGGAAGUUCUGGGCAGCACCUUGCAGAGGUGGUGGUUGGAUGGACCAUCUGUAGGGAGUGAAGCAGGAGUUACCUGAGUGAUUCGGGGAGGAGGGGCCCUUCACAUGUGCAAAGGCCCAGCGCAGGAAGUGACGGGAGAGGAAGGCCGGGGCCAAACUACCUCAGGCCUUUUGGUCAAUACUGAAGGUUUUGAUGUUUUCUCCUGGGAGUGGCGGAACUCCAUUGAAAGACUCCAAGGGAGUGGCAUGACCAGAAUGAUCUCUGACGGCUCGCUCUGGGUACAGUGCAAAGGACAGGUGGGAGGAAGCCAGGCAGGCCCUCGGCUGUAGUGGUCUAGGGUAGAGACACCGGCAACUUGGGAACUAAAUGUGGGCACUAAAGAUAAAGAGAUGUGUGUGGAUCCACGAGAGGUUUAGGACAUGGCACUGCUGGGACUUGGUGAAGGAGGGGCUGUGGCAGGGACACAGGUGCUUUUGAUGCUUCUGUGGAUGCAGUGUCACCCUAUGGGACCAACUCCUGGAGAAGGCAACACAGAAGUGGGAAACUUCCUGAUUUUGUGGAUGUGGAUCUUAGGUGGACAGCCUGAUGUCCAGGGCAAGUAUGCAUCUAGUUUCUUCCACUCUCCUUGAAUGAGAAGUUGUGGUUCAGUUCCUGGAUAGUAGAGCGUUCACCACUGAACGUUCACCACUGAAACAAUGGAUGAGUGGAAACACAUAGGACCAGGUAUGAAAGACAAGACUGUUUGAAGGUAAGUGAUCGCCAUUCACAUUUGUGAAUUUUCAUGAAAUUCAG